AGUCUAAGCUAAGCUAAGCUAAGCUAAAAUUUGAUACAUGGGCCGUCCGCUUGAUAUAAAAUUGCGAGCAUCAAUUAUCUUGCAAUCGCCAUUGUACCCUCACUUCCGACGCUCCCACGAAGAUCGACUACAUUGCACGGAAAGAAGCUCAGAAGAGCGUGAGCAGUGAUCAAGUGCGUAUGGCUGAAUUGUGCUGGGCGCUUCUAGUGAGUCGUUGCUGCCAAACCGAACUACGUCGGGAAACUCAUAUGGACUGGUAAAAUGCCGUAAUCUUUAUCACAACUCGUUAUCUUAAGGUGGAAUCCUUCCUCAUAUAGUGAGCAGUAUUCGCUCACCGGUACAUCAGACGAACUGCAGGAGGAUUGAAGAAACCCACGUGUGUACCCAGGGAGGUUUCCACCCACAUCGCACCACUGGUCAAUUGCAUGUCAUCCACGGCCGUUGGGCUACCACAAAGCGACCUAAACAUUACUAGCCCACUCCGAUGAGUCUGUAGCUCUUCACACCAAGGAAGGAGAUUCAAGGGCAAAAGCCUGAACAACGCUCGUACACAUCACCACUAUUGCGAAGCGAGAGAUUGCGUACUCUCUCAACACACAACCAAAAGGCCUCCAACAAUCGGAGGCCUUUUCUUCCCCAUACUCUAUUCUCAGCAGCUCCCAUUGAGAGAGCCGCACACGCAUGACAUCACUGGACCAUAGCGAUCGGGAUCACGCUCAAGAGCAGUGGGAUAGACGGUUGGCACAGUAAGCACCAGCUACCGUGGGCUACCCCUUCACGAUUGUCUGUUGGGAGAGAUCGGGCUUCAGCAGCGACCGCCAGCGAAGAAUCCACCAGCAUUACGCCAAUGCAUGCGCUGCAGUAACGCAACUCGGAUGGCACACCUCAACGUCACCAAAAGAUCAAGCGGACGGUACCAGAAAGAAUCACAAGAUGGGCCCAUCGUGAGUAGACAGUAAAUAUUGAUAACCUAGCAUAAGGCGGCAUCCACAA